rnacentral:rRNA from 1 species
UACGUAGGGUGCAAGCGUUAAUCGGAAUUACUGGCGUAAAGCGUGCGCAGGCGGUUAUGCAAGACAGAUGUGAAAUCCCCGGGCUCAACCUGGGACUGCAUUUGUGACUGCAUAGCGUGGAGUGCGGCAGAGGGGGAUGGAAUUCCGCGUGUAGCAGUGAAAUGCGUAGAUAUCAGGAGGAACACCGGUGGCGAAGGCGCUCAUCUGGCCCAAUACUGACGCUGGAGGCGCGAAAGCUAGGGGAGCAAACGGG